GCAGCAGUGAGGAAUUUUUCACAAUGGACGAAAGUCUGAUGGAGCAAUACCACGUGAACGAUGAAGAUCUUCUGAUUGUAAAGUUCUUUUAUUUAGGAAAAAAAGCUUGAUAGGAAAUGAUUAAGCCUUGAUCGUACUAAAUGAAUAAGUGACAGCUAACUAUGUGCCAGCAGCUGCGGUAAAACAUAGGUCACGAGCAUUAUCCGGAUUUAUUGGGCGUAAAGGAAGCGUAGGCGGACAAGUUGAUCUAUUGUGAAAAGCACUUGCUCAACAAGUUGUUUGUGAUAGAUAUCGCUUGUCUAGAAUUAGUUAGGAGAUACUGGAAUUCAAUGUGUAGCGGUGGAAUGCGUAGAUAUAUUGAGGAACACCAGAGGCUAAGGCGAGUAUCUAGAACAUAAUUGACGCUGAGGCUUGAAAGCGUGGGGAGCAAAUGGGAUUAGAUACCCCAGUAGUCCACGCCGUAAACGAUGGGUAUUAGGUAUUUGAUAUAAGAUUGAGUGCUGUAGCUAACGCGUUAAAUACCCCGCCUGGGUAGUAUAUAUGCAAAUAUGAAACUCAAAGAAAUUGACGGGGACCUGAACAAGUGGUGGAGCAUGUUGCUUAAUUCGAUAAUACACGAAAAACCUUACCGAGGCUUGUAAUCUUUUGCAAAGCUAUAGAAAUAUAGUGGAGGCUAUCAGAAUGACAGGUGGUGCAUGGCUGUCGUCAGCUCGUGUCUUGAGAUGUUUGGUUAAGUCCCGUAACGAGCGCAACCCUACUCUUUAGUUAACCAGUUCUAAAGUGACUGAAUCGUAAGAUAUAGGAAGGUUGGGGCCAAGUCAAGUCAUCAUGCCCCUUAUGCCUCGGGCUGCAAACGUGCUACAAUGGUAGGUACAAUGUGUCGCAAUCUAGCAAUAGUGAGCAAAUCACCCAAAACCUAUCUCAGUCCGGAUAAAAGGCU
rnacentral:rRNA from 1 species